rnacentral:lncRNA from 1 species
CUCGGGAGAGGCAGCGUAAUGGGCUCCAGAGAAGUUGUGCAAAACAAUCUUCUUUUUCAAAUGCAUAUGUACUGUGCAUUCUUUUGAGGGGAGAAGGAUCUGGUUGUAAUGCGAAUAAUUACUCAUUAGUCAGCUCAUUUUCAAAGUUGGAGGGGUGACAUGCCAAGUUUUCUCAAGGUGGCUCUCAGCUGCCUUGUCCCAGCACUCUGCUGGCCGUGGUUGUCAGUGGGAACCAACACCUAGAGCUGGGACAACGGUGCAGGGGACUGCAGGAAGA